rnacentral:lncRNA from 1 species
AUAUAUUUAAUUUAUAUAUAAAAAUUAUAAUAAUAAUAUAUAUAGUAUAUUAAUUAUUAUAUAUUUAAUAUAUAGCCGAACUUUUGAUCCCGAAUUUUUAAUUGGUGAACGUAUAAUACCCGUAUAAAUCACGUAUCCGAAUAAUUACCGAAUCCGUUUUUUAGCCGUAUUUUUUAACAAAUUUAAAAAUUAAAAAACGAAUUUUAUUCGAAUUAUACCCGUACCGAAUUUUUGCUGAAUCCGAAUUAACUAACUAUGGAUCAAAGUAAGUAUAUAUGCAGUGAGCCAUCAGAUUUCAGGAAUAAAUAUGCAAC